AGCGCAGGCGGGAAGACAAGUUGGAAGUGAAAUCCAUGGGCUCAACCCAUGAACUGCUUUCAAAACUGUUUUUCUUGAGUAGUGCAGAGGUAGGCGGAAUUCCCGGUGUAGCGGUGGAAUGCGUAGAUAUCGGGAGGAACACCAGUGGCGAAGGCGGCCUACUGGGCACCAACUGACGCUGAGGCUCGAAAGUGUGGGUAGCAAACA
rnacentral:rRNA from 1 species